rnacentral:rRNA from 1 species
UACAGAGGGGGCGAGCGUUGUUCGGAAUUACUGGGCGUAAAGGGCGCGUAGGCGGCCAACUAAGUCAGACGUGAAAUCCCUCGGCUCAACCGGGGAACUGCGUCUGAUACUGGAUGGCUUGAAUCCGGGAGAGGGAUGCAGAAUCCCAGGUGUAGCGGUGAAAUGCGUAGAUAUCUGGAGGAAUACCGGUGGCGAAGGCGGCAUCCUGGACCGGCAUUGACGCUGAGUGAGCGAAAGCCAGGGGAGCAAACGGG